UCUGGCUCAGGAUGAACGCUGGCGGCGUGCCUAACACAUGCAAGUCGAACGGGGUUACUGGCAGCGAGAUUCGGUCAAAGCAGCCUUUAACCUAGGUGGCGGACGGGUGAGUAACGCGUGGGGAACCUGCCCUGGUACUGGGGGGAUAACAGUGAGAAAUCACUGCUAAUACCGCAUAAGCGCACAGCAUCGCAUGAUGCAGUGUGAAAAACUGAGGUGGUACAGGAUGGCUCCGCGUUGGAUUAGCCAGUUGGCGGGUAACGGCCCACCAAAGCGACGAUCCAUAGCCGGCCUGAGAGGGUGAACGGCCACAUUGGGACUGAGACACGGCCCAGACUCCUACGGGAGGCAGCAGUGGGGAAUAUUGCACAAUGGGGGAAACCCUGAUGCAGCGAACCGCCGCGUGAAGGAAGAAGUAUCUCGGUAUGUAAAGCUCUAUCAGCAGGGAAGAUGAUGACGGUACCUGACUAAGAAGCACCGGCUAAAUACGUGCCAGCCGCCGC
rnacentral:rRNA from 1 species